rnacentral:tRNA from 1 species
GGAAAUGUGGCUUAGUGGUAGAGUGCUUGCCUAGCAUGCACGAAGCCCUGGGUUCAAUUCCUCAGUACCA